UCAGCUCGUGUCGUGAGAUGUGGGUUAAGUCCCGCAACGAGCGCAACCCACGUUUAGCCUGCUUAACAGGUGAAGCUGAGCACGUCUAGACGAACUGCCGUUGACAAACGGAGGAAGGUGGGGAUGACGUCAAAUCAUCAUGCCCCUUAUGUUCUGGGCUACACACGUGCUACAAUGGCCGGUACAGACGGACGCAAAGCCGCGAGGUGGAGCAAAUCCUAAAAAGCCGGUCUCAGUUCGGAUUGCAGGCUGCAAUUCGCCUGCAUGAAGUCGGAAUCGCUAGUAAUCGCAGGUCAGCAUACUGCGGUGAAUGCGUUCCCGGGCCUU
rnacentral:rRNA from 1 species